GACGAACGCUGGCGGCGUGCUUAACACAUGCAAGUCGAACGGAAAGGCCCUGCUUUUGUGGGGUGCUCGAGUGGCGAACGGGUGAGUAACACGUGAGUAACCUGCCCUUGACUUUGGGAUAACUUCAGGAAACUGGGGCUAAUACCGGAUAGGAGCUCCUGCUGCAUGGUGGGGGUUGGAAAGUUUCGGCGGUUGGGGAUGGACUCGCGGCUUAUCAGCUUGUUGGUGGGGUAGUGGCUUACCAAGGCUUUGACGGGUAGCCGGCCUGAGAGGGUGACCGGGCACAUUGGGACUGCGGUACGGACCAGACUCCUACGGGGGGCAGCAGUGGGGAAUACUGCACAAUGGGCGGAAGCCUGAUGCAGCAACGCCGCGUGCGGGAUGACGGCCUUCGGGUUGUAAACCGCUUUCGCCUGUGACGAAGCGUGAGUGACGGUAAUGGGUAAAGAAGCACCGGCUAACUACGUG
rnacentral:rRNA from 1 species